rnacentral:rRNA from 1 species
GAUGAACGCUAGCGGGAGGCUUAAUACAUGCAAGUCGAGCGGUAACUGACCGAUAGCAAUAUUGGUUAGCUAGAGCGGCGCACGGGUGAGUAACGCGUACAUAACCUACCCUAUACUGGGGGAUAGCCUUGGGAAACUGAGAUUAAUACCCCAUGGUAUUAUUUGGCCACCUGGUUGAAUAAUUAAAGUUGCGGCGGUAUAGGAUGGGUGUGCGUCUGAUUAGCUAGUUGGUAGGGUAACGGCCUACCAAGGCGAUGAUCAGUAGGGGGCGUGAGAGCGUGGUCCCCCACACGGGCACUGAGACACGGGCCCGACUCCUACGGGAGGCAGCAGUAAGGAAUAUUGGUCAAUGGACGAAAGUCUGAACCAGCCAUGCCGCGUGAAGGAUGAAGGCCCUCUGGGUUGUAAACUUCUUUUAUAGGGGACGAAAAAGGGAAUUCUUUCCCACUUGACGGUACCCUAGGAAUAAGCACCGGCUAACUCCGUG